rnacentral:lncRNA from 1 species
AUGUUUUGCAAAUGGCUGCCAAUGAGAGUGCGCUUGCUACUGAUUUCAGGCUUCUCAUCAAAAAGAAAUUUCCCAUCCCGAUCAAGCGGGAAGUCAGAUCUCGCCUGUCCCUCUGUCUUCUGGGUUGAUGGCUCGGCUCCUGUGCUGGGACAACCUGUGGCCUCUGGGGCUUGGCCCUGGGAUGUCGGACAGCAGGGCCCUUUCCGACGGCCAGGAGCUCCACCACUGCCAUCUGGGCACGCACAGGUGCUGGGAGCUCAGGAUCAAAGUCAAGGUCAUGAGAAGCCUCUUGGACAACGAUCUCGCUUGGACAUUAGGAGGCAUUCUGCACACCUGAGUCCAGGGGAAAAAAAGCAACACAGAGACUUACCUUGGCUUUUGAAAUUGGCAUUGGCUAGGACCUCUCUUCUGUCGCAGCUAGGAUGCCACAUAGCGAACAGCCUGACUUCCCUGCAUGGCCAUCAGCAAUCCUUCUCCUGUGUUUAGGUGCUUAGCAUCGCCCUGCAUCCACAGCGGCAGGACCGCGUGGUCUUGCUCUGGUCUCGCCAUGCUUGGCAUUCCCGUCUUGGAGGGGCGCUGGGCUCCCCUGGAGGAUAAAUAAACUCUUCCUUAUCUGCAGAAUGAAGUCCAGAGGUCUCAGUGUAUCGCAGACUUGUGCUGGGCAAUGGAUGAAUGAACACGUUCGAGGCUGGCGUGGGAGGAGGAGCAGGGGAAACGUCGGCUGGGUGGCAGACCAGGCCUGAGACCUGGAGAAGCCAGCCAGCCACAGCCACCCCUGAGGACGGCCGGGCCGGCGGACGCCUCUCGGUCAAGGCAAGCAGGAGGGGCACCGUUCCACCUGCCACGCUCCCUUGUACUAGGCAUCUAAGCCAAUCUCAAAGGGGCAGCCUCCUUGUUCCAGACUUCAUUUUAAUCGGAUAAAGUUCCAGAU